CUAAUUUUUUUGUGUUUCAUAGAGAUGGGGCUCUCACUCUAUUGCCCAGGCUGGUCUUGAACUCCUGACCUCAAGGGAUCCUCCUGUCUCAGCCUUCCAACUGUUAGGAUUACAGUUUUCCAAAGGCCAUGUCCUCUUGUUUUGUCCUGGACUCCCUGAGAAACUGAAGAGCAACAGGCAAAUGUCUUCCUUAUUGAGCGUCUUCCUUAAAAUGAAUAUGGGCCCGACCUUAUAUUCAAGAAAUCAAUGAAGCUAUAGAAAGGACAGUUCUGGAGACAGAUCCUGAAGAAUGGGUAAAAUUUCAACAGACUGAAAUGGAGGGGAAGUCAUUACAUUAUUAGUGGAGACAGCAAAGCAACUGUUUAUUUGUUACCUGAUUGUUCUGGGUACACUAAUUUUUACUCCUGAGACAUAUUACCUAAAUUCUUCAAGGACAGGAAUCAUUUUUCCAACUGCUUUUUAAUAGUUCCAAGUAGCUAACACAGUUCUGGAUACACAGUGGGUGUUUAGUCAGUUCCUAAUAACUGCUUGGGGUGUGGCCAAAAAAAGGAAGAAAGAAAGAAGAAAAACCCUCAUAAUAUUUGUUCAUGACAGAAGCUCAUUUUUAUUCUUAAAUCUGUUGCUAAGAAUAAAAAUUUUUAAGUUUUUAUAAAUCCAAAAUUUCAUAUUUGAAACAAAGACGGUGUAUAUAAUUGGAAGCUUAUGGUUGUCUAAUAAAGGACAGAAGAUUCCAAUUAAAGCCAAAAUUUUAUCUCUAAGCAGGCUUUCUCACUGUGUGGGCAUCCCAACUGCUAAGUUUGUUUAAUAGAUCAAAUUAAAUGGAUGACUGCUUUUGAAGGGCAUCUUAGGGACUUGGGACUUAGCUUUGCUUUGGUGCUAGUUUACCUAAGCUCACUACUGAGGGGAUUAUUUGGUCUUAUUAUCAGAAAGAUCACUUUUAAAUAUUGGGGCGAGUGAUAAUAUGAUAUAAAUACUUCAUAUAUGUGUGUGUGUGCAUGUAUGUGCACGUGUGUGUUAUUUUUUCUUAAUGAGAAGCAAAGGGCACUGGGUUUCACCAAUUCUCUUUCCCUCCUCUACCUCUGAUCAGACUCUGAAAAAUACCCUGCUUCUUCAACAACAAAUGUUUUAAGUGCAAAGGGUAAAUUUUGUUCUAUAAAGAUAAAUGUACUUUUUAUGCAUUCCGCAGUGCUCAUAUUGCAUUACAUAUGUUAUUUGUAACUCAUAAGUAGUGAGAUACUGUCAUGCAGGAAUGAUAUUCUGAAGAGUUAACAAUGGUACAGCAUAGACACCAGCCAUUCAGAAUGGACUCCUGAAUAAUCUGGAAGGAUGCCAGCUGGCUCACUGGACCUGCACAUCCCAGCUACAUCUCAGCUCUGGUGUAGUAGACUGUUAAACCUGCUUUUAUCUGUCUCUACUUCCCUUCCAGUAACAGCCACACAUUUUCCUUUGGAGAACUGCACUCCCUGAAAGGAAAUGGCCAGCAUGGGACUCUACUUUCCCUAGGACACAAGGCCAGGGCAUGCAAUCCAGAUUUAGCAAAUAAAGACAUAGUUUAGGCCAAGCAGAGUCCUCCCCCGGACUUUUCCUCUGGAGUUAAUUGGGAAGAUUUUCUCUACUUCGGAGAUUACUUUGAAGGAUGUGAGCCUGAGGCAUUUGGAGGCUAGCCAUCUUGCCUUUGUAGAGGAUAAAUCCUAACUGAAGACUGAAGUCAAGAAGAAAUAAGUGAACCUGAGAAAGAAAGAGAGAAACAAAGUCCUGGGAACAUGGUUUGAGUCUUUGGAACAGCUGUGCCUACAGCCAGAUGCAAUCUCCCGAACUUCCCAGUUACUCAAAUACAUUUUUUCUUCUUUUUCUUUUUUGUUUUUGCUUAGCAUUCAGGUAAGAACUGAGUAAUAAUUAUGCCCACAUAAUAUAGUUCUAUGUAAUUUCCAUUACACAAUGCUGAUGAAAUCUUGGACUUAAUUGAAAACUCUGUUUUUUAUUAGAUUGUCCUAAGGCUCCAAACCAAUACAUCAUGCACCUAGAAAUCAUCAUGGAUCCUUAAUCAGGAGAAUAACAAAAUAAAGAAAAGUUUGCCUGGCAAGAGAUAUGUGGAAAUAAUCAAAACAACAUAUGCUCAUAGAUGUAUUCAGGAAUAUACAUACAUACAUAUAUAUAUAUAUAUAUAUAUAUAUAUAUAUAUAUAUAUCCUUAAUUUUGAAAGAUGCCAGAUGCCAUUUCUUUCCAUGUUAGUAUAACUGAAAAGAACUGUUAUUGCCCAUACCUUAAAAAUGUUUGGAGAUUAUUCUAUACUCUUCACUUAAUUAUUUGCAACACUGGACCAUAGAUUUACCUCAUUCAUUUAUCCUAUAAGCAUAUUUUAGGAAGUUGUUAUAUGCACUUUGCUGUUACAGGCUCUAGGGAAAAAAGAUGAAUUAGGAAAUUCCCCUAUCCUCCAGGAGCUCAGAUUCUAGUGGGAAGCAGAAGUGUAAAUUGAUAAAUGGUGUGAAAGUUGGCAAGGCGAGCACUUUGCCUGCUACUGGAGGCUUCUUCCUCCUCCAUAGAGGCACAGCCAAGAGCUGGACACAGUGGAGUCUAGCGGGUGCACAUGGCUCCAUAAAAGUCGCUUUCCCAGUGUUCCAGGCUAAGCUGUUCAGCAAAUCAUACGGUCCCGGAUUUUCUGGUAUUUCAGGCAUUGAGAUGCUUUACUAUUGCUUUGAUGUUUUUAAAGCAAAAAACUUUUUCAAUGGAAAAAUAAAGAGUUAGUUUCCCCAUCAUUGAUCAAUGUAGUCUUAACUUUCUUUGCAAGGCCAGACAUGAUCUCCAGGAAGUUACUGUGGUUGAUUAACACUUCAAAUUAUAAAUUAAAUUUAAACUCUAAAAAGUGUAAUUAUGAACAAAAUGCUUGAGAGCACAGAGAAAGGAA
rnacentral:lncRNA from 10 species